rnacentral:rRNA from 1 species
UGAAACUACGCCUACAUGAAGCUGGAGUUACUAGUAAUCGCAGAUCAGAAUGCUGCGGUGAAUGCGUUCCCGGGUCUUGUACACACCGCCCGUCACACCACGGAAGUUGGGGGGCGCCCGAAGCCACUUAGCUAACCCAUUUGGGAAGCGAGUGUCGAAGGUGAAAUCAAUAACUGGGGUGAAGUCGUAACAAGGUAGC